GAAUUUAAUCCAUUCUAAAAACAAUUUAUCGUGUUCAACACAAUCGCUGUGAUAUGGUGAUUUUGCUGGAGUUCGACGUGCCUCAAACUUUUCGGCAACCACUUGUUGGGCAGAAUUGAGAAAGUCAGAUGUGCAUAAAAUUUCAUCUUCACAUGAUUGCUUGUUGAAGCCUUGCUUAGAAACACAAUAAUCUCAUUUUCCAUAGAUUUAGGUGCAAGGCAGUAUAGUAUAGCAUGGCAACCAAAUUUGGACACAAUAUACACCACUACUAGCCUAUCUUAGAAUAGCUCACUUGGCUUACUUGAACCAAUACCUUG
rnacentral:lncRNA from 1 species